UACGUAGGGGGGCAAGCGUUGUCCGGAUUUAUUGGGCGUAAAGAGCUCGUAGGUGGUUCGGUAAGUCGGAUGUGAAAUCUCCAGGCUCAACCUGGAGGGGUCAUUCGAUACUGCCGUGACUAGAGGUCGGUAGGGGAGUGUGGAAUUCCUGGUGGAGCGGUGAAAUGCGCAGAUAUCAGGAGGAACACCCGGUGCGAAGGCGGCACUCUGGGCCGAUACUGACACUGAGGAGCGAAAGCGUGGGGAGCGAACAGG
rnacentral:rRNA from 1 species